GACGAACGCUGGCGGCGUGCCUAACACAUGCAAGUCGAACGGAAUGGCCCUGCUUAAUUUGGUUGUUGCAGCGGCGAAAGGGUGAUAAACGCGAGCGUAAGCUGCCUUUGACUUUGGGAUGACUUCAGGCCACUGGGGCGAAUACCGGCUUGGAGCUCGUGCUGCAUGCUGGGGGUUGGAACGUUUCGGCGGUUGGGGAUUGACACGCGGGUUAUCAUCUUGUUGGUGGAGUAGCGGCUUACCAAGGCUUUGACGGGUAGGCGGCCUGCGUAGUGGACCGGCGCCAUUGGGACUGCGGGACGGACCAGAAGGCUACGGGAGGCAGCAGUGGGGAGUAUUGCACAAUGGGCGGAAGCGUGAGGAAGAAACGCUGCGCGCGGGAUGACGGCCUGCGAGUUGUAAACCGCUUUCGCCGGUGACGAAGCGUGAGUGACGGUAAUGGGUAAAGAAGCACCGGCUAACUACGUG
rnacentral:rRNA from 1 species